UCUCCGUUGGUGAACCAGCGGAGGGAUCAUUACAGAGUUGCAAAACUCCCAAACCAUUGUGAACGUUACCUAUCCCGUUGCUUCGGCGGGCGGCCCGGGCCCCGCGCCCGGCGCCCCCCGGCCCCCCGUGGGCGCUCGCCGGAGGUAAACCAAACCCUUGAAUUGCAUGGCCUCUCUGAGUCUUCUGUACUGAAUAAGUCAAAACUUUCAACAACGGAUCUCUUGGUUCUG
rnacentral:misc_RNA from 1 species